CUGUCAGCGCAGAGCCUGAUGUGGGGCUCUAACCCACGAACCAUGAGUUCAUGAUCUGAGAGAAGUCAGAGGCUCAGCCGACUGAGCCACCCAGGUGCCCCUGGAGUGCUGUUUUCUAAAGGAAGAGAGAGAAACUGCCACAUGCCACCCAACAUGAAAAGUGACUCCAGCAACUAUUAGCUAGAAAAACCCUCAUCUAUCAGAAAGGUUACUCCGUUGAACUCAAACUGGGGCCCCUCGAGUCAGAACACGGAGACUGGAAAUGACACAACAGAGUUGUGAAGAGUGUGUACACCUGAGAGGAUGGCGAUUCAGCCUGGAGUCACUAGAUGCAGGAGACGACCGAAGCACGGGAAACAGAUUACAUCACCAGGAGAAAGACUGAGUGCUCAACGUACAGGACACCAACAUUCAAAAGAAAAGGCUGCCAGCAAAAUGACAUG